rnacentral:rRNA from 1 species
GAAAUGCGAUAAGUAAUGUGAAUUGCAGAAUUCAGUGAAUCAUCGAAUCUUUGAACGCACCUUGCGCUCCUUGGUAUUCCGAGGAGCAUGCCUGUUUGAGUGUCAUUAAAUUAUCAACCUAUUUGUCGUUAUUGGCAAAUAGGCUUGGAUGUGGGGGUUAUUGGUGGCUUUCUAGUCAGCUCUCCUCAAAUGUAUUAGCUGGUUGCCUUGUGUAAACUUGUCUAUUGGUGUGAUAGUUAUCUACGCUAUGGGCUGUUUACUGAUUUAGCACUGCUUCUAACUGUCUUCAGACAAUAUAUGACCAUUUGACCUCAAAUCAGGUAGGACUACCCGCUGAACUUAA